rnacentral:misc_RNA from 1 species
CUUUUCCUUUUCAUCGACGGGAGUGAAGCAGACGAGAAAUCGCUAUCCAGUUUGAAAUCUGUUUAUUUUAAUUCUUUAUUGUUAAAUUUAAGUCAUUCUAUCGUAAAAUUUUAAAAAGAGAAAUAUUUGACCAAUAUCUUAUAGCUUUAGUUUCUCCAUUGUUUAUUUAUUGCGUUUGAUGAUGCACAUUUUAAACAGUGUUAAUCGGCCACAUGUUUGAAAUUUAUAGUGGGCAUGAAUAAUGCAUUUUCAGUAAUUAAUUUUCAAGCUACGUUGUUUUUUCUCAUAGUUAGAAGUUAGUUUCAGAUAAAUAAGAGAAUGCCAAGGGGGAAACCUGCUCGAAAGAGACCUGCUGCGUCUGCCAGCGCCGAGCGGCAACCAGCCCAAAGUAGUAAGAGGAGACAUACCGGUAGAUCGACCGCAAAUCCUGUUCCAGCAGUAGAGGACAACAUUAAUGCCGUGUCAAACAGUGCACCAGCUCAAUGAUGCUACUGAUGCUGUCUGCACUCCAAGUUUGGAUUCUGCCUCUGUCAAUGGUCCUGGGUCCUCUAUCCAAGGCAGUACAGCAGUUCUUGCCACUUCCAAUAACCAAUAUCAAACGAUUUUGUCAUGGCGCACUACAAUGAGGUUGAUCCAGCCAGCUCGUUUCCAAAAAGAUCACGCACCAGCAGCCUGAAUGUUGUGACUUCCAUGAUUCCUUUUCUAUGGUUUGUGCCGACCUCGAGCAGGGAUUUAUAUCGUUUUAUGACUGUAUAAAGGUUAAAUAUUGAUGUUUCUCUAAUUAUUGCAAUCUUUAGCUGAACUUAAAUAGGGCUAUAUUUAGUGAGCAUCUGUUCCCAGGGCUCGCUACAACUCUAAUUUUCAAUUUGCUUAUUUGUGUCAAAUUUGAUAUGUUUGAUUUGCUAUUAUGUUCUUUAACAGUUUCAUGUAUAUUCCCAUAUUUCUGAUUCAUUUGCAUAUUUGACAUUUUCAUGUGCAUUUCCAUUUACAUGUAUUAGCCAUUUGGGUUGCCAUUAUCGCCCUAUUUACAUGGGUCGGUAACCUUGGUUACAAAUGUAGCCAGUAAAUAAUUGUAAAUUGCUGAAAAUUUUCUAUUACAUGUAUUUGCCAUUUGGGUUGCCAUAAUCGCCCUAUUUUCAUGGGUCGGUAACCUUGGUUGCAAAUGUAACCAGUAAAUAAUUGAAAUUUAUACUGUAAUCCAAAAUUGUAGUGUAGCCAUGGCCAUUAUUCGCCAAUAAAUAUUACA